UGCAGCCAUGUCCAAUUCUCUGCCUGUUCCACCACAGCAAGCGCUGGCCCAGAGGCUGCCAUAGGAACUGUCAUCCACGGGUCCCUGUGCUUGGUCAGGUCCACCUCACAGACAGGC